rnacentral:tRNA from 1 species
UAGCUCAGUUGGUAGAGUGCUUGUCUCAUAUACACAAGGCCCUGGGUUCAAUCCCCAG